UGUGUGUGUGUGUGUGUGAUGACCUAAGAUGAUUUUGGUGUUAUUUUCUUCUGUAGUAUCUGUGGAAUAAACUGCAGAUCAUUUUGUGGAUGGGUGUGUAAGAGAUCAGACUCAUCUGAUCCACCUUUGCAGCUCCAAUAUGGAUGACGCACAGACAUCCAGUGAUGGAGACUUUUGUCCAGGAAUCAGUUCAGUCCAGCAGAAGAGAACAGGAUCAGCAGAGCCCAGCUGUGUGUCUAUGAGGAGCGAUCAGUCUAUGAAUCCACCACUGUUUUUUAAUGAUGGAAACACAUUACCUGGCUGCAAGUCCAAUAUUUCUGCAAACACAUGUUCAGUCAAGCCUAUGAGAACAGAAUCAGCAGAGCCCAGCUGUGUGUCAAUGAAGAGUGAUCAGUCUAUGAACCCACCACUGUUUUUUAAUGAUGGAAACACAUCAUCUAGCAGCAGAAAGAGAAAACACUGCAUGAAGAUGAAUCUACCAAAACCCAGCCAUGUUCCUGUGAAGAGGGACUGUUCAGUGGAUCAGCCAAUACUUUCCACUGGUGGAAACGCUGCCUGCUGUGUUGUCGUAGCACAUCCACACAGGAGAACAGAUACAUAAACUGUUUUCAGCCAUGAAGUCCUCAACACGUUUAAAUCAAAUCUGAAGAAUAAGUUUCAGUGCCUUUAUGAGGGAACAGCGACGCAGGGAAACCCAACACUCCUGAAUGAG
ensembl:lncRNA